UGGGGAGAGCAGGCACCCAACAGAGAGACAAAUCCACAACGGCAUGAUUAUCAACUUCAUUAUUGACAAAGAAAGGAGAACAUGUCACCAUCAUGAGCCUUUAUUUAGUUCACGGAAGAACAUCAAGGGAAAGACCCUCAGACGUGUCAUAACAGGAUAAAUGUGGCUACAGGACGCAUCACCCCACCCCAUCCCAGAUUGACCAAGGAUCCAGAUGAGUACUGGCAAUUUGGUGU